rnacentral:rRNA from 1 species
CAUUACCGAAUUGUCGACACGAGUUGUUGCUGGUCCUCAAAUGGGGGCAUGUGCACGCUCUGUUUACACAUCCACUCACACCUGUGCACCCACUGUAGUUCUAUGGCCUGGGGGGCUCCGUCCCUUUUGCCGUGGUUCUAUGUCUUUUACAUACACGCUGUAAUAAAGUUUCACGGAAUGCAUCGUGCGUUUAACGCAAUAUAAUACAACUUUCAGCAACGGAUCUCUUGGCUCUCGCAUCGAUGAAGAACGCAGCGAAAUGCGAUAAGUAAUGUGAAUUGCAGAAUUCAGUGAAUCAUCGAAUCUUUGAACGCACCUUGCGCCUUCUGGCUAUUCCAGAGGGCAUGCCUGUUUGAGUAUCAUGAACACCUCAACUCUCAUGGUUUUGCCGUGAUGAGCUUGGACUUUGGAGGUCUUGCUGGCCUGUGGUCAGCUCCUCUCAAACGAAUCAGCUUGCCAGUGUUUGGUGGCGUCACAGGUGUGAUAACUAUCUACGCUUGUGGCUUCCGCUGGGUAACCUUCAGUGAUGGAGGUUCGCUGGAGCUCAUAAACGUCUCUCCUCAGUGAGGACAGCUUCUUGAAUGUUUGAUCUCAAAUCAGGUAGGGCUACCCGCUGAACUU